rnacentral:misc_RNA from 1 species
CGAUCUAGACAACAACAAGUCCACCGUGGGCUUUGAAAAACGCUUUCCUUGAUAAAAUUUAAGCGUUUUAUAAGAGGAUGCCGGGGAAGGUUUUCCGGUUUAUCCCGGAGGGCUUGUAGCUCAGUUGGUUAGAGCGCGCGCUUGAUAAGCGUGAGGUCGGAGGUUCAAGUCCUCCCAGGCCCACCAGUUUAUCCAUUACUUUCAUAAGUGCUUUUAAAAAAUAAGUACUUCUAAAAAGAUUGCUUCUAAAAAGAUUGCUUCUAAAAAGCUUAUCAAAAUUGGCAGGCUUAUUGCUUUUGUGUGAGUAAUCCAAAGUUAAAGCAAAUUAAUGGCAAAAAAACAGUUCAAAUGCUAAAUACUAAGGAGUCAAAAUUCCUUGCAAAGUGAUUUUUACAGCGUCCAUUUGGUUGAUAUAAAUUCCAAAUGCUCAUAGACGUCAAUGCCUAUAUAAAACUAUCGGUUCAAUCAUAUCGCUUUGAGUUAUAUAGAUUUUGUAAUCCCUCUUUUGAUCGUUUUAAACGCUUUA